UGACAAACAGUCACCGCCUGUUUUAGGAAGCAGGAAGUUUUAGUUUCAGUGACCAGUCUGUUAAAACUACAUUACUGACUGGUACUCUUCACUGUGCAUCAACAACCCUUAAAGAAAUACUACUACUUCUGUGAAAUGUUGGGAUCAUGACUUAAUCAAGGUUACAACAAAAUGUUCUGUAGCGUUAUUGAUUAUCCUGCAUGAUACAAAAUACCCACGUUUCCGACACACAGUGGAGAUUCUAAAGUCUAUUGGGGCCCCAAGCAAAGAUUCCCAGGGGGCCCCUCAAACAGCGUUCGUCACAUUAUGUUAUAAAUUAUCUUACAUCAACGAAAGGUACGAAGUGUAAACAGUUGUUUAAUUAAAAUGUUUUCACUUACAUCAGUACAUUUUCUAAAAAACUAAAACAAGAACAUUCCAAACCUUCUAAUUUUCUGAAUAUAAAUAUAAACAACCUUAAAAAACAUCAAUGAAUAAACACUGUAAAUGUAACGCUAGCUUAAAUUUAAGUGUAUCUCCCAUUAGCCAAUGCUAAUGACAGCAUUCAGUUAAACUGUUAUACUUAAUUAUCUGCCUCACUUACCACGGUCGUGCUUUCUCCAGCGAGAUAUUUUACACACCAUCUUAGAAAUUAAUAAAAUCUUAUAAACGGUUGGAGAAGGUUAACAUUACAGGCUGGUUUACCAGAUCAGAAAUCUCCUAGCUAAAAAUGUUAACUAAUCUCUGGGCCGAUGAUAGCUAAUAAUAGUUAUAUUACUUCUUUCUCUAACAUUAGAUUCAAAUAAAGAACUUUUAAAAUAAACUGUUUAUGUUCAUAUUUACUUGGGUAACAACAGAUCUCGCGUUACAGGAAGCUAACGUACGGUUCUUUGAAAAAGAGAAAAAUACUCACCCAGCAUGAAGUGACUUGUUGAUGCCUGUUUUCAGCGACUGCUAACUUUAACCAUGUUGGCUAAUGGUCGUCUCUAAAUGUCACUGAAGUCAAAGGCACAGAAAAAAGAUGCAAGUCGAGUAGUUCUUCUUACACAUUUACUAGCUGGAUGCAGCUACGCUAGCUAAAGAGCUAAAUCUUUACUUGCUAAGAUUGGACUUUUGUGAAGUCAUGCUAGCAACCCUGUAGGCUAAAGCUAGCUAAGCAACUACUUGCUUCCUAAAUAAUUAAUUUGUUUUAAGGAAUUUCGGCUUCUGUUUUAAAACAAUUCUCAUUUGGGUAUCAGCCGUUAAGUUACAGAAAGCUAACGGCUAAAAAAUCUGACAUCAAAGGAUUUUUCUGUGGUGAAGCCUUAUGCUAUUGACUGAAGCUAAUAGGCUAACAUUUUUGUGUUUUUAAUUAUUUGUGGUGACUAAUGUCAAGCUAAAUGUGUCUAUACUUCUACAUUUCAUUUGCAUUUACACUAUAUUUUUGAUUUAUAUAACGCAUGUAUAUAUAUAUAUAUCUCUAAUGAAAUAUUUGUUAUGUCAUCUCUUCUGGCUUCAUUCUUACCAAAUAUUUUUUACAGCACCAGAAUUAAUAAAUAUGUUUUUAUACUGCA